AUUGAACGCUGGCGGCAGGCCUAACACAUGCAAGUCGAGCGGAUGAAGGGAGCUUGCUCCUGGAUUCAGUGGCGGACGGGUGAGUAAUGCCUAGGAAUCUGCCUGGUAGUGGGGGAUAACGUCCGGAAACGGGCGCUAAUACCGCAUACGUCCAGAGGGAGAAAGUGGGGGAUCUUCGGACCUCACGCUAUCAGAUGAGCCUAGGUCGGAUUAGCUAGUUGGUGGGGUAAAGGCCUACCCAGGCGACGAUCCGUAACUGGUCUGAGAGGAUGAUCAGCCACACUGGAACUGAGACACGGUCCAGACUCCUACGGGAGGCAGCAGUUGGGAAUAUUGGACAAUGGGCGAAAGCCUGAUCCAGCCAUGCCGCGUGAGUGAAGAAGGUCUUCGGAUUGUAAAGCUCUUUUAGUUGGGAAGAAGAGCAGUAAGUUAAUACCUUGCUGUUUUGACGUUACCUACAGAAUAAGCACCGGCUAACUUCGUG
rnacentral:rRNA from 1 species